GCAAGUCGAGGGGCAGCAUUUCUAGCUUGCUAGAAGAUGGCGACCGGCGCACGGGUGCGUAACGCGUAUACAAUCUACCCUGUACUGAGGGAUAGCCCGAAGAAAUUUGGAUUAAGACCUCAUGGUACCGCGACACCGCAUGGUGUUUCGGUUAAAGGUUACGGUACGGGAUGAGUAUGCGUCCUAUUAGCUAGAUGGUAGGGUAACGGCCUACCAUGGCUACGAUAGGUAGGGGUCCUGAGAGGGAGAUC
rnacentral:rRNA from 1 species